UCAAACAUGAUAGUGAUUACAUGAAAUUAAAAGACUCGUUUAUUUUAUAAACAUUUAUUGAAUUACAAUUCAUAAUGUGGAUAACUGAACUUUGUUGAUACGGUGUAGCGAAAGUUCAGUGCAUAUGUUUUUGUUAAUUUACUUUUUUAUUUAUUAGAAGUGUCGGUCACUACUUAAGUUUUGUGUUUGUGUGUUUAAACAAGAUUGAUUUGGUUUAAGGGCCAGUGUUGGAAAGUGUCUUCGUAAACUAAAAGCAUCUUGUUUUAUAGGUUACUGCAUAAACGCACGUGGAACAAGUCACAGAGUAAAUAAUAGUACUAGGUACAGAAGACUCACUCUCUAACAAAACGCGUCUGUUACGAUCAGCACAGAUAUGGCCGCUAGGUGGCGACAGCGCCACGCGCGGCUUAUGGCUUUCCCCAAAAUUGGGGCGGAACGGAUGCACUUUUAACUACCUGUAGCAAAGCGACGAAAUCGCGGAGUGAGCCACGUCUGAACAAGUAUAAAUGUUUGAAUAAAUAUACAGCUUUUGUUCGCGUGCGUGAUGCCGUCACAUUCGUUUCGACCUUUCUGCUGAACAGCCUAAAUUUGUAAUCAGUGCUUAUUCCUCGACAAUAUACAUCUUCAUAUGGACUUAUCAUAGUUUCCUUUACGCCCAGGUUUAAAAAUUCAAAAGAUCUUGGGCUGGUCACACUUUGUGUAGUAAGAAUUAGUUUUGAUACUAGAAAAUAUUUUUGAUUUUCUGUGCACACAUAAGGUACCUAAGGAAAUAAAUUAAAUAUACGUUGACGUGCACUCAAAGUCAGCGCACAUAAUUUCUACCACUAUGUAAAGUACAGUCAACGACAAACAGACAUGUUUACGAUACAAUGUUUUGAUUUUAUUGAUAUUUUCCAGAACUUCUAGUUUAUCCGUUUCUUUACACACUUAUCCUGUUUAUGAUAUUAAUAAAUUCACAUACUUUAAUCAAAGUUAUAGGCAAAUGUUAGAACUAGCACUUAAAGUAUCAAAAUAUAUAGAGCACCAACCUACUAAAUUUUUUACGCUUGUAAACAUUGCAGUUUUUCGUUAUACAACGCUUCACGUCGACUUCGCACAUCAUCGUAAUUGUUUACGAGCUUAAAUAGUAGUUUGCGGACCUCACUCGGUAUAGUAAUUAUUAAUAUUAUUUAAAAUAAACCCCUUAUAAACCGCAAACAAUUUGAAUGAAUGACAUAAAUUGACAACUGACUUUUAGCUUUUUUUUUAAAUGACAAUUGGUGAUACAACAAAGAAAUAUCUGUCAAAAAUAUUUGGCUGGCCAGACACUAUUUAGAUUAUAAUUAUAUGCUUUGAAUAUUUACAGAAUCAUAUAUGCUCGAGCAACAGCUGUCAAGUCAAAGAUUAAGUCACAAAUAAAUAUCCCAAUCACGUAAAAGGAAACGGUGACACAGUUCAGACCCACCUACAUCAAGACAGUCGCAUUUACUGGAUCAUGAUUAUUGUAAAAAAAACAAGAGCAGCUUCCAAUCACCUAAAAGAAAAAAGUUAUCUGCUUCAGAGCCAUCUACAUCGAGACAGUCGCAUUUACUAGACCAUGAUUAUUCUAAAAAAAAGAAGAGCAUCCUCCAAUCACCUAAAAGAAGAAAGUUAUCUGCCAAAGAUUUACAAGUGACACCACGAAAAACAAAAUUAUUAAAAAAAAAUUGAUUUCUACAAGCAGAAAAUAACAACAUUGCGUGAAGGAAAUGUAUUGCCGCGCAUUAAAUCAUUAGCUCUGAAGACCU